rnacentral:rRNA from 1 species
GACGAACGCUGGCGGCGUGCUUAACACAUGCAAGUCGAACGGAAAGGCCCUUCGGGGUACUCGAGUGGCGAACGGGUGAGUAACACGUGGGUGAUCUGCCCUGCACUUUGGGAUAAGCCUGGGAAACUGGGUCUAAUACCGAAUAGGACCACGCGCUUCAUGGUGUGUGGUGGAAAGCUUUUGCGGUGUGGGAUGGGCCCGCGGCCUAUCAGCUUGUUGGUGGGGUAAUGGCCUACCAAGGCGACGACGGGUAGCCGGCCUGAGAGGGUGACCGGCCACACGGGGACUGAGAUAGGGCCCAGACGCCUACGGGAGGCAGCGGUGGGGAAUAUUGCGCAAUGGGCGCAAGCCUGAUACGGCGGCGCCGCGUGCGGAAUGACGGGCUUCGGGUUAUAAACCUCUGUCAAUAGGGACGAGGCGCAAGUGACGGUACCUAUAGAAGAAGCACCGGCCAACUACGUG